AGAAAUUGUUGGAAAGAAGGAAGAUAGCCUCUCAGGAGAAGACCAGAAGCAUAAGAACCAUGCUUGUUCGCUCACCACUGCCAACAACAAAGACAACGACAAGAAGAGACUGUCGGAAGCAAAGCAAAGCUCGCCGGUAAUACUCAUAUUGUGGUAUCACACCACUAUUGGCUGUUCGUUGUUCGCUGUUCGCGUUUUUUAAAGCACGUGAUUUAUCGACAAGAUUCUUCGCUUCAGGUUCUAUCACUUAAGUCCGGAAGUACCAAAAUCGGAUCAGAAAAUACCUUGGAACGCGGCGCGUGAGUCGUACGCGCCAUCUGAUGACGUCAGCGCCACCACGCGUCAUCACGCGCCUCCACGUGCCAUCACGCGCGCGUCAACCGCGUUGUCCACGCCCGCGCUGUCCGCGUCUUCCACGCACGUGUCUUGCGCUGUCCACGCGCGCACCGCACCGUUUUCCGCGCCGGCUUGGCGGGUUUGGCAGCUAGGUACAAGGUUCUGUUUGUUUGUUUUAAAAUUCAAAAUUGCUUUAAAUGGUCAUAAGUAAUUCGUUAUAGCUUUGUUUUAAGCGUGGUUGGUACUGUUAGACUCAGAAUUAAUUUUUCUAUCUUCUGUAAAAUUUUCAAAAUUUUAUGAAAAUAAAAAAUAUUUUUCCUGAAAUAAUAAUUCAUUAUUUUUACUUUAAAAUGCCUCUGGUGUUACAUGAUUAAGUUUUUGGAGCUGAAAUUUUUACUAUAGAGCACUGUAAUGGUUUACUAUUUACUGGUAUAGUUGUUGCAUUUUCCGAGAUUCUGGAAUGUUUAUUUAUGUUUUCAUCUGUGUUUAUUAAUUAUUUAAAAUUCCAGAAAAUACCAAACAAUUCCAGAAAGUUUCAGAAGUGAUAUACUUUCUGUUAUGGCAUAAUCUGAAUAUUAA